CCUACGGGUGGCAGCAGUGGGGAAUAUUGGGCAAUGGGCGCAAGCCUGACCCAGCAACGCCGCGUGAAGGAAGAAGGCUUUCGGGUUGUAAACUUCCUUUGUCAGGGAAGAGUAGAAGACGGUACCUGACGAAUAAGCCACGGCUAACUACGUGCCAGCAGCCGCGGUAAUACGUAGGUGGCAAGCGUUGUCCGGAUUUACGGGGUGUAAGGGGCGUGUAGCCGGGUUGACAAGUCAGUGGUGAAAUCCUGCGGCUUAACCGCAGAACUGCAGUUGAAACUGUGAGUCUUGAGUACUGGAGAGGGAGGCGGAAUUCGUGGUGUAGCGGUGAAAUGCUUAGAGAUUAGGAAGAACGCCGGUGGCGAAGGCAG
rnacentral:rRNA from 1 species